UCUUUAAUUCAUCAUUAAGUGGUGCAUUUUCCAUUUUAGUUUUGCGCCUGUUGACAUUCCAUUUUCUCUUGGCAUCUCUUCUAGUUCCCUCUCUUGAUUAUAAAUUGAACAUGGAAGUGCUCUCUAUUGAUUUUGAAUUUAUAUUACUACCAUUUUCAUUUUCUUUUACAAUUUUCCAUAAGAUUUCCUAAGAGGUAACUUUUUCUCUUUCUAAUUUUGCCUUUUCUCCUUUUCUUCUCGUUUGCUCUUUUGCUUUUUCGCUUUCACAACAUUAUGAGUUCUAGUACUCCCCUUCCUGAAAAAGGCAAUGCUAUUGCCAUUGAAGCUUCUUCUUCUUCUUCUUCAAGCUCUGAGACCACCAAAUCAAGUGGUUUUCCCUCUAGCCGUCUCUUCGCUGCUAUGGGAGCGGUGGACCAAGCUUCUGGGAUUUCACCUGGUAAAUCCAAGCUUACAGUAUUGUUAUUAGGGAUAGGAAUACUCCUCCUCGAUUGAAUAGAACUUGCAACCUUUUGUUUAGACAAAAGCCCAAGAGGGUGCAAAAAGGAAGAAAACUAGCACAAGAAUAGAGAAUAGGGUGUCAAAUUUAAGUUCAUUAUUUAGGGGAAGAUGACAUGGAAAGACUUAAAGUAAAAUAGUCUUGUUCUUGACAAAUUUGAGUUACUUCCCAUGGGUGGAAAUGUUCGGACAAACUCCAAACAAAGUCCCAAUUUUCUUAUUCUGUAUGAGGAAGAUCUGAGAGCUGGUGUUCGCCUUCCUCUCCAAUUAGAUUUAUGUGACUACCUUAAUCAGCUCGGUAUCACGGUGUCAUAGCUCGCCCCAAAUAGCAUCAAGAUUGUGCUUAGGUUGAGCAUCUUAGCUCGCCAAGCUAAUCUGGAAUUUUCUCCAUAUGUAAUUAAUGGGUUAUAUUCCUUAAUGAGUCGUGAAAAAGAAGAUUAUUCUCAUCCCUUUGCUCGAGGCGGUCUUAGUGUUUUGAGGGGAUGCCCGGGUCUAUAAAAUGGAGAUGGAAAGAAAAAUUUUUUAUAGUGAAAAGUUCGAAAGAUUUUGGGGUGAACACCUAUUGGUCCCGAACUGUGCCAAUUUUUCGGGAAGAUAGGUUAUAUAUGAACUAAUGGGGAGAAAGCAAUUAUAGAUACUCUUGCUAAACAUGCCUAUAAUCUCCUCCAUCUUCUAGAUUUACUUGCAUUGGAAUACGCCUCAACUUGCUCGGAAAAACGUCAAAGAAGAAAAAAAUCAAAAAGAGAUUUUGCUAAAAAGCUUGAGUAAAAGAGAAGGAAGAAAAGGGAGAUCAAAGCUUUUGCUCAGGUCAAGAAGAAAGGAGGUGGACUUGUGCUAAGAGAUGAGGAGGAGGAAAAUAUUGAAACACCUCCACCUCCUAGCAAAGCUACACCCCCUAUUGCUCCUCUUGCUGAUUCGGUCACUUUGGAGCAUCCAAAACUUCCUGAAUCAGGAACAAAUCUUGAUGAUGCUGCUUGCACCUCCUUCAGAAGUUGAAAUUGUUCAUCUCUCUGCUUAAGAUGACGUUCCCCUGACUAGAAAGAGGAAAAGAUCUCGAACAAAUUUUAUCGAAGAGGUUGCUCAGCCAGAGUCAGCUCAACCAGAUGUAGAAAGAUAUAUCAAAGUUGUUCAUGGAGCUUCUGCAUCCUGUUCUCAGAGUCCAGUAAGUAGGGACUUAACUUGGUUGUCACUCCUUUCACAAGGCUGGAAUUAUGCAGACUCCAUGGAGGAGAGCACUAUUUUCGAUAGCAUGAAUUGUAGCCUUUUCUUUGUAAGUAUUAUAAUAUUAUUAUUUUUUAUAGGGAAACUUAUAAUUUUGUC